rnacentral:tRNA from 1 species
GCCUGGCUGGCGUAAUGGUUAACGCGUCUGACUGUCAGUAUUUCCCUCAACUCCUUGAUGUUCAACCCAAGGUUUAACAUCUGGUUCACAAUCAUUGCUAACGUUUGUUCAGUCUAAUCAGAAGAUUGCCGGUUCGAGUCCGGCGUCGGGCU